UAUCUCUGGCAACAAACAGAGAGACACUUUGUUGCUGUUGUUGUUCUUAAAUCAUUCAGGGGCAGAGCAGAUGACAGUCCUUUGUUUAUCCUAGCUUGAUGCUUGGCAUGGUGGCCAAAAUUGUCUUACACCCAGGACUCGUAA